rnacentral:rRNA from 1 species
UACGAAGGGGAGCUAGCGUUGUUCGGAAUUACUGGGCGUAAAGCGCGUGUAGGCGGGUCUUUAAGUCAGGGGUGAAAUGCCAAGGCUCAACCUUGGAACUGCCUUUGAUACUGGAGACCUUGAGUCCGGGAGAGGUGAGUGGAAUUGCGAGUGUAGAGGUGAAAUUCGUAGAUAUUCGCAAGAACACCAGUGGCGAAGGCGGACUCACUG